AGUGAACGCUGGCGGUAGGCCUAACACAUGCAAGUCGAACGGCAGCACAGUAAGAGCUUGCUCUUACGGGUGGCGAGUGGCGGACGGGUGAGGAAUACAUCGGAAUCUACUUUUUCGUGGGGGAUAACGUAGGGAAACUUACGCUAAUACCGCAUACGACCUACGGGUGAAAGCAGGGGAUCUUCGGACCUUGCGCGAUUGAAUGAGCCGAUGUCGGAUUAGCUAGUUGGCGGGGUAAAGGCCCACCAAGGCGACGAUCCGUAGCUGGUCUGAGAGGAUGAUCAGCCACACUGGAACUGAGACACGGUCCAGACUCCUACGGGAGGCAGCAGUGGGGAAUAUUGGACAAUGGGCGCAAGCCUGAUCCAGCCAUACCGCGUGGGUGAAGAAGGCCUUCGGGUCGUAAAGACCUUUUGUUGGGAAAGAAAAGCAGCAGGUUAAUACCCCGCUGUUCUGACGGUACCCAAAGAAUAAGCACCGGCUAACUUCGUG
rnacentral:rRNA from 1 species